CUUACAUCUUCCUCCAUGUUUCUGCUUUGUUGUUGCUGAUUUGCAGUGGAAAUCAUGGUUCAUGUUGCACUCAACAACUCUCUGUCAUUGAAAGAGAUUCCUUGGACACUUGUUCCUUUGUCCAUGAUCCUCCGCUUCAUCUGCUUGACUGGUAUUCCAAAAGCAGCAGAAGUUAACCGAAAGCAGACAAUCCUAAUUGAAGUAGGCACCACUUCUGACCAGCACAGUUAUUGACACACAAGAAUGCCAAAGAGACUGCGGAGGAAAUCUUAAAUACUGAGUGCAGCCUGGACAGAUUAAAU
ensembl:lncRNA